rnacentral:snoRNA from 1 species
CCCAGCUGCAGGCAACUGGCUAGGUUAUCUUGUACCUAGCAAGUGCUACAUUGCUGGGAGACAAGCAGUGGGUAGCUGGCAGGCAUUCCUGGCCUGGGCACUGCUGUAUUUAUGUUAACUAUACCAG